ensembl:lncRNA
GUUUAAAAAGAGGGAAUUGUGUUUUUGACUGGUUGCCUGUCUACCGGAGGUCUGUUGUAGGGUUGUCAUGGUGAUGACUAGACCUCGCGUUUUGGGGGUAUACUGUCCCUUUAAGAGCCGCCGUAAGCCAGAGCACGCAUGCACUCAAGUUUGUGUCACACUGAGCGCUGUGAGCGGGAGCACUGGAGAGUUAGAGACUGCAAAAGAUUCUGUGGCUAGCUACACACGAGGUAAAUGUGCUAAAAAGUGUAGCAUACUGCAAAAUAUUGUCACCAGUGUUGUAGUAGACUGUAAUUAGCUAAGUUUCUUUAGCAAUGACUCCAUGUUUGUGACCAUUUCUGUACAGUUCUUAACGCGCGACGGGUGCAUGUUUAAUGGUCACGUGCCGUGAAAAGGGACUGAAGAGCGGGUUGGCAGGGGAGAUUACUUGCUGUGUGAUUCCUGCGUGUGUACUUGUCCUAGCACAGUAGCUGUGUGGAGAAACCGAAGGGAGUUCAUGAUGUUCUCCCAUAGAAAUGUAUGUUUAAAAGAGAGUUUACAGUGCACUUUAUUGCCAGUUGACCUGCGAAGUUGUGGGAUGUAAACAAUGUGUUUAUUUGUUUUGUUUUCUCUUUUUUUGUUGUAUUUGUUUCUUGACAGGUCACUACUGUUGUCUAUACUGUUUGGAUUUAACAUGUACAUAUGAUAGUUACUGUUGUCUCAGACCCUGAAAGGCAGUUUAGGCUGAGCCAGUGGAAUAGUUAAAUUUUGCCGUUUCACUCAAAACUACAGAAUUAAAACUGUGCUCCUCCGAGUACAGUCGGAGAAUAAAAAAGCCCACAAAAGAGUAUUUCCUGUGUCC